rnacentral:rRNA from 1 species
AAGACCUUGCGCUUUUGGAGCGGCCGAUGCCUGAUUAGCUUGUUGGUAAGGUAAAAGCUUACCAAGGCUUCGAUCAGUAGCUGGUCUGAGAGGACGGCCAGCCACACUGGGACUGAGACACGGCCCAGACUCCUACGGGAGGCAGCAGUGGGGAAUUUUGGACAAUGGGGGCAACCCUGAUCCAGCCAUGCCGCGUGAGUGAAGAAGGCCUUCGGGUUGUAAAGCUCUUUCAGCCGGAACGAAACGGUUACGGUUAAUACCCGUGAUUACUGACGGUACCGGAAGGAGAAGCACCGGCUAACUACGUGCCAGCAGCCGCGGUAAUACGUAGGGUGCGAGCGUUAAUCGGAAUUACUGGGCGUAAAGCGUGCGCAGGUGGUUUUGUAAGUCAGAUGUGAAAGCCCCGGGCUCAACCUGGGAACU